rnacentral:rRNA from 1 species
GCCCUUGACCAUAAUCAAAGGUGUAGCCUGCCCAGUGGUUUCAAAAUAAAUAAAAAUAAUCAUUUUUUAAUGAAAUUAAAAGGACGCAGUAUCCUAACUGUGAUAAUGUAGCGUAAUCACUUGCCACUUAAUUGGUGGAUAGUAUGAAUGGCUAAACGAAUAUUACACUGUCUCCUAUAGAAGACUUAUAAAAUUGAAAUAAUAGUAAAGAUGCUAUUUAAAAUUGUAAGACGAAUAGACCCUAUAGAGCUUUACUAUAAUUUAUAUAUUUUAUUAUAUAAAUUGGUAGUUUGGUUGGGGCGACCAUCUUCUAUAAAAAACGAAGAUAAAUAAAAACAAAUAAUAAACUUAUUGUAAAAAUCAUAAUUUUAACAAUUAUAAUAAUAGAUUUAAUGACCCAUUAGAAAUUAAAUAAUCAAUCUAAUGAAAAUAAAUAAAAGCUACCUUAGGGAUAACAGGAUAAUUUUGCCUUAGAGAUCAAAUCAAAUGCAAAGUUUAUCACCUCUAUGUUGAAUUAAGAUAUCCUAUUAAUGCAGAAGUUAAUAAGGGUAGGUCUGUUCGACCUUUAAAAUCUU